UGUCACCCAUCGCAUGGGAAAGGAGA
rnacentral:piRNA from 1 species